GCAACUGGUGUGGGUGCUGUGCCUGGUGUCCCCAAGCGUCAUCUGCGCCCUGGGAUUGCAGGUACCUUUCCUUCUGCUCUUACGGGGCAUCAUCUUAUGUUUUCUCAGACUAGUGGGUCAAACCUGAAGUCUGAGAUGCUGCGGGUGUCUGUGGAAGCCCAAGGGGUCCAAGCCUGGGUGUUUUGGGGCAGCAGCCAUUGCGGGGGGUUGGCUGGACAAUCCAGCCCCAGUCUGGGUCACCGUGAAUUGCUCCUUGCAAUCCACACUUUGCUCCAGUCCUGGGCCCCAACACACAUCCUUGAGAAACCGUCCAGCCUAGAAUUCACAAAACUAUACGAACUGCUGAGUGUGUCCCUCCCAGGCCACGUGCCCGACACCGGUGACGGCUCCUGGUCCCUCUGCUGCCCUGGCACCAGCUGCCAACGCCUCCACAGCGUCUCUGUUCUGCGGGCUGGUGGGGAGGGGGUGGAUCAGUGCUUGCAGCUGCUCCCCGGCGCUUCCCAUCUCCUCCCUGCUGGCCCAGCACCUGGGGCCUCACCUCACUUCUGAAGUUCAGGUUUAUUACCUUGUGUAUCACGGGCUGUUUGUAACAAAUCACCGCAGAGAGAAAACACAGAGAUUGCAAUGGCUUGGACCAAGCAGCAAACCCAGGGACCUUCAGGAAUGUACGAGGUGCCUCCCAGAGACACGCACCCCUUUCUGAGAGAGAAGGAGGUUAGAUGGUCCCAGACCAAGACAUUACAGCACAUGGUGCUGUGGUCGCUGGCUUGGCUCACCAAAAGGGUGACCACCACUGCUCAACUCUCACCGGUCACACUGAAUCACUCACUCCCUUUGCAGAGCAAUGGGGGAAUGAAUGAGCACAAGGUGCUUUAUCAGCCUCUCAACCCUUGACACAGGGUAGGACUGACCCUCAGGACCCUCGUCCUGUCCCCUUGCACCCCCCACCCCUGCACCAGGCACCUGGGCUCACGUCUGCAAGCUGCCACCCGCUCUCUCGCUGUCCCCAGGGGAGAUGUAUGUGUGUGCUGGGUGCUUUGUCUUGGUAGUUGAGCUUUUUUGUUGUUGUUGUUAUUUUUAAUCCGCAUAUUGUUCUGGAUUUGCGUCAGAGACAGCAGGUUGGAGAAUUGUGCCUGGCUCUUGGAGCAAAACGUGUCCAGGUUGGAAACGCUCCCCCCAGCUCCAGGUUGGAAAUGCUCCCCUCCAGCACAGCUCCGUUGCCCUGCAGCAGCGUCCGCUGGGUCUGGCGGGCUGUGGGACAAGCUGCCAGCCUUUCUCCCACAGCUUUCAACAGCUUUUCAUUCACCACCUGGAGCCCCAAAACUCUUGGUGUAAGACCCAGCGGAGGAGCAGGGGGCAGGGAAGUGGCUCCCAGAGCCAGCCCGAACUGAGGGCUUGGUCCUGCGCUGUGGUGGGAUGCAGCCUCCUGGGGGACAGGAGCUCGAUCUGCCCUGGGGACCUGCAGCAUCCCACCCCCGGGGCCACCAGGAGCUGCCCAAGAGCCGGGCAAAGGCACGUUCCCUGGGAGCACAGAGCUCCUGGUGCAGGGAGUCUGGAGCAUCCCGUGUCCAUCCGUCCCAGCAAGGAGAGCAACGUACCCUUGGUGCAGCCCAUGGGAAAGACAAGAGGCUGGGGCUCAGACGUGGUGACAUCCUUGUCACCGGAGCCAUGGUCACCUUCUCCUCCCUGCCCUGCUCCUUCUCUCCCCACUCCCCACCUGCAAGCAGAGACCCCAUCUUACCUGCCCCGUUCGGCAUCUGCAAUAACCUUUCUGCCUAGAGUUUGCACGCCUCAAGGAAUGAAAAAAUAAACAAACCCACACCAGAAUCUCACUGAAAGCAACAGACUGUUCUCCUCGCAUGUAAAUGUUGCUGCUCUUUUGAUUUUAAAUGGCUUUAAUGCCAAGUUCAUCUGCUAAUUCCCCGCCUGCCCCAUGUGUAUUGUAUAUUAGGAGAAAUGUUGUUCUGUAUCAUGAGCAGUUUAUUUUAUCGAGUUUAAGAGAAAAUCCCAUACUGAGAUGCUGCAGAUAAAUAUUCAUUGUCACAUCU